UCCGGUGAUUGAAGUGCGAGUUGUGC
rnacentral:piRNA from 1 species